rnacentral:tRNA from 1 species
GGUCACUUAGCUCAGCAGGUAGAGCGGCUGUUUGAAGUGCAGCGCGUCGGCGGUUCAAUUCCGUCAGUGACCA